rnacentral:rRNA from 1 species
CAGUUAUGUGGUGUCACCUGCAUCUGAAUUCAUAGGGUGCAGGGGGUGACGCGGGGAAGUGAAACAUCUCAGUACCCGCAGGAAAAGAUAUUCCGUGAGUAGUGGCGAGCGAAAGCGGAUGAUGGUUAAACCGUUUCCGUGUGAUACCCGGCAGGGGUUGCGGUUGCGGUGUUGUGGGGCGCAUCUUUCUCACGUCUGCCGGCGUGGGGCGCAGUGAGAAACUCGUGCGGUAGCU